UACGAAGGGGGCGAGCGUUGUCCGGAGUUACUGGGCGUAAAGGGCACGCAGGCGGUCAUGUAAGUCUGUUCUGACAGCUCCUGGCUCAACCGGGAGAGGCGAACGGAAACUGUAUGACUUGAGGACUUCAGAGGGACACGGAAUUCCGGGUGGAGUGGUGAAAUGCGUAGAGAUCCGGAGGAACACCAAAGGCGAAGGCAGUGUCCUGGGAAGUACCUGACGCUCAGGUGCGAAAGCCAGGGGAGCGAACGGG
rnacentral:rRNA from 1 species